rnacentral:rRNA from 1 species
AUACGUAGGGGGCAAGCGUUAUCCGGAUUUACUGGGUGUAAAGGGAGCGUAGACGGUAAAGCAAGUCUGAAGUGAAAGCUCGGGGCUCAACCCCGGAACUGCUUUGGAAACUGUUUUACUGGAGUGCAGGAGAGGUAAGCGGAAUUCCUAGUGUAGCGGUGAAAUGCGUAGAUAUUAGGAGGAACACCAGAGGCGAAGGCGGCUUACUGGACUGUAACUGACGUUGAGGCUCGAAGGCGUGGGGAGCAAACAGGAUUAGAUACCCUGGUAGUCCACGCGGUAAACGAUGAUCACUAGGUGUCGGCGGCCAUAGGCGGUCGGUGCCGCAGCAAACGCAAUAAGUGAUCCACCUGGGGAGUACGUUCGCAAGAAUGAAACUCAAAGGAAUUGGCGGGG